GUGAAAAUUAUCCAUUUUUUUUAGACUACAGACUACUUUUCACUAAAAAAUCGUGUAUAGCAGUAUUAGUGUCACAAAUUGGAAGAGCAUGUUUGGUGUCAACCUCUCCCUUUUCCUCACCGUUGAGGCAGUUGGACCAUUCUCGGGUCGCUCAAAUUUGGGCAGACUCAUCGAUGGGAUGAGAUCAGAGGGGAAAAGCCUUGGCACGUCUGAGUUCCGGCUGCCCGUCUGAGCUUCUCUGUAGCCGCUUGCAGCCCCAGUAGCUUUCUCCAUGUCUGGUGCUCCCCAACAUCUCCGACAACCAACUGUUGCCAGACAACUGUUUGUGGUUUUGUCCAAGUGGGAAACAAAAAUAAAAACUUCUCAUUGUUUGAUGCUUGAGAUGUUGUUUUCAUCUGUGUCAGAUUUUAAAUUGUGUUGAGAUCAUUAUGCCACUUGAGAGACUUGAUAGAUUUGCAGCAUUCAAAAACCUAGGUGUACCCACUCUUUGCAGCAGAUGGUGUAGCUGUUGUUGUGCAAAACAUCUCCACCAACCCUCAAAGUUAGUGGCCUUGCUCUAUUCCAUGUUCGAGUGAUGCCUUGUUCUCUUCCUUUUCAAUUGGAUCGUCAUUUCACUUACCUGAUACCAGAUGGAGAUUGUGAAUACAACAAUGAAGAGAAUCAAUACUGGCCAUGCCACUUGACUCAUGAGAAUAAUGAUGCACAGAAGCUGAAUAAGUGCAAAAACCAAUCCCGCCACUCUGUAUGGAAUAUCUGUGUCAACAGUACUCUGGUCUGUUGAAGACUGAAAAAGGGAGCAAUAAUAGGAGAAACAUUAGGUACUGACCCUGUUAAGAAUUCGGCUGGCAACCCAGUAGUUGCUGCCCAUCUGUAGACCCUGGAAGAGAACUUGACAGAACAGUAGUACUGGAAUAAAAGCCCCUUUAUAUGCUGAAGUCACAAAGCUAUUUGCUGAACAAGGUCUCCAUUGCUGUCCAUCAUCAGAUCUUCGUACUUACCAGAUUGAACCACCUUCCCAUCUUUCAAGACCUGAAAAAUGUUGGUGAAGGAAAUAAAUUUUAGUCUUCAUUAUCAGUGUGGGUGUUCUCGACAUGGAAUCAGCUUCCCAGGUGUACUCCCCCGGCUCGAUCUCUACUCCGAUGUCUGAGGUCUCGGAUUGGUUGCUUGGCUUCAACCGCUUCUGUUCUUCUUCUUUAAUGAAGUCCUGGAUUCUGUCGAUCGAGACUUUGGUCUGUGCGAUCAUGUUGACCAGCUCUGGGAGAUUGUAGAUUGGUUCUUGCAGGAUUCUGAACGUGGCCAGAGCUGAGAGCACCGUGCCGGCGGUCAGGGGUGCCCUCACGAGUAUGCAGACACCAAAGGCGACGACUGAAACCAAAGUGGGAGACGCCCAGAAGAGGAAGGCAAUGGCGGAGCAUGUGUAGAGGUAUCUCCUGAGCCAACUCCUCUCCACAUUUCUAUGCUCGAGCAACUUGUUCAAAUUCGCCAGCGGCGUGUUGCACACCAUCACCAGGAUCGUCACGGCGAGCGCCGAGAACGAGGCUGCCGCACCGAGGUUUCUGUAAAGGAUGAGCAGAGCCAGGGUGACCUGCAAGGGGAGCAACCAAACGCCAUGGAUG